CGCACGUUGGCCGCGCGAGACCCGACGUACGGCCCACGUCUGGGCCGCGCCGCUGAGCUCCGUGGGCCGUGGGCUCGGCGCUGAGACCCGGCGGCUGAGCGGAGCCACGCCGCGUUGUCGGCCAGGUAAAUGCCCCUUCGUUUUAAGUGGGGCGGCCGCUACCGUGCCACAGGGCGCUCCUUCCGUUGUCCCUGCGGUGAGGCUCCUGGCGCGCCUGCUGGCCCGAGAUCCCGCGAGUAGGAACCCGGAGCCGACCGCCGCGGGCCGGGCUGCGCGGUGAGGAGACCGCUGGGGCGCGAGCCGGCUGGGCAGAAAAAGUCCUGAAAUUCCUUGAACUCUAGACUCCAGAAUCCACUUGAUGAUGCGUAUGUGCUGAAACACAAGUCGUGAAGAUGACUGGCCAAGGCCAGAGUAAACCGAUCUUUGUCCACAUGAGCCCUGCCUUAAGGACAGCUGAGGCCCCUUUCCCAGAGGCGCUACCGUGGAAUCCGGUCAUGCAUGCAGCAGUUCUCUGAGCUAUAGUCUCUGAAAGUAGCUGAGGUCGUUCGUUACAUUUUCUUCUCUGUCGCUUCUGGAAAUACUAUUAUCUUUUGUUUCUGGAAUGCCUGGAGGGUCAUCCUCUGGGGCGCUGGUACAGAUAACCGCUCUUGAUUUAGAUGCUUCCUUUCUCCUUGGCCUACGGCUGGGCCUCUCACAGGUCUCCUAGUCUGCCCCGGAAACAGGAGGAAGGCCUUGCCUUCCUUUACCCUCCACUCCGCGCACUGGCCCACCGAGCCGGCCUCCGAAGCCCACUGGGCCGCACGGGUUGUGUUGCCCUCCUUCCCUGGACAGGCCGGACCAGAACCUUGUGUUCACAACACUGUGCUUCUGCCCCCACCCCCCACCCCACCCCCCCAUUCCUUUUUUCCAGAGACCGACCUCCCAAGUUCAGAUUCCUCUCUGGACUUCCACAGCUGGGUCGGCAGCCCCUCACAUUACUAAGGUCUGGCUUUUUUUAUUCAUCCCUGACUCAGUCCAGUACCGUUCAAGCUUUAGUCACGAACAGAGUCUGUGCGUUCUACUUCCAGAUUAACUGUCCUGAGAAAAAGCCACUGUAAGAUGACUUUUAAUUCAGUAGUAUUUAUAAUACAGCGUUAUAUGUAUUAAAGAUCGUGUUG